CGCGCCAAAGUUUUAUCGCACUGUAUAUGUUUAGUGAUUUGGUCUAAACGUUUCUACUACUGAGCCUAACUCGGUUGCUACAGUCAUUUUUGGUUGUGUC
rnacentral:ncRNA from 2 species